AAGUCGUAACAAGGUUUCCGUAGGUGAACCUGCGGAAGGAUCAUUAACCUUUCAAAAAACAGGGUGCGUCGCGGCCCCCCUCCGGGGGCGGUUUGGGGUCCUCCCCUUCACGCGCGCACGACUGCAUCCUUACUUUACGAGCACCUUCUGUUCUCCCUCGGCGGGGCAACCUGCCGUUGGAACCGAAUAAACCCUUUUUUGCAUCCAGCAUUACCCGUUCCGAAACAAACAAUCGUUACAACUUUCAACAAUGGAUCUCUUGGCUCUG
rnacentral:misc_RNA from 1 species